rnacentral:rRNA from 2 species
CAAGUCGUACGCAUUCUCGUUUCUGAUUGACGGUGCUUGCACCUAAUUGACGAGACAUUGGAAUGAGUGGCGGACGGGUGAGUAACACGUGGGUAACCUGCCCAGAAGUGGGGGAUAACAUUUGGAAACAGAUGCUAAUACCGCAUAAAAGUCAAAACCACAUGGUUUUGAUUUAAAAGAUGGCCUUUGUGCUAUCACUUCUGGAUGGACCCGCGGCGUAUUAGCUAGUUGGUAAGGUAACGGCUUACCAAGGCAAUGAUACGUAGCCGAACUGAGAGGUUGAUCGGCCACAAUGGGACUGAGACACGGCCCAUACUCCUACGGGAGGCAGCAGUAGGGAAUCUUCCACAAUGGGCGCAAGCCUGAUGGAGCAACACCGCGUGAGUGAAGAAGGGUUUCGGCUCGUAAAACUCUGUUGUUAAAGAAGAACGUAUCUAAGAGUAACUGCUUAGGUAGUGACGGUAUUUAACCAGAAAGCCACGGCUAACUACGUGCCAGCAGCCGCGGUAAUACGUAGGUGGCAAGCGUUAUCCGGAUUUAUUGGGCGUAAAGCGAGCGCAGGCGGUUUUUUAAGUCUGAUGUGAAAGCCUUCGGCUUAACCGAAGAAGUGCAUCGGAAACUGGGAGACUUGAGUGCAGAAGAGGACAGUGGAACUCCAUGUGUAGCGGUGAAAUGCGUAGAUAUAUGGAAGAACACCAGUGGCGAAGGCGGCUGUCUGGUCUGUAACUGACGCUGAGGCUCGAAAGCAUGGGUAGCGAACAGGAUUAGAUACCCUGGUAGUCCAUGCCGUAAACGAUGAAUGCUAAGUGUUGGAGGGUUUCCGCCCUUCAGUGCUGCAGCUAACGCAUUAAGCAUUCCGCCUGGGGAGUACGACCGCAAGGUUGAAACUCAAAGGAAUUGACGGGGGCCCGCACAAGCGGUGGAGCAUGUGGUUUAUUUCGAAGCAACGCGAAGAACCUUUACCAGGUCUUGACAUCUAGCGCCAAUCUCAGAGAUGAGA